GGCCCCUGGCCUCACCUAGUUUGGGGCGGGUCCGGGAUCUGGGGAGUGAGUGUCCCCCUCUCUGCUCCCUGGGGUCUGACCUCGACCACCAUCUCCUGGGGUGUCCCCCGCGGGUUUCUGCGGCCCAGGGUGACCCCGCCCUUGCUCUCCCGCAGGUGUUCCACGUGUCCAUAGCAUUUGCGUCACAAUGACCUGGGCGACAGGUGGGAGCCUGGGCGAAGGGUUCCCAUUGUGUCCCAUUGCUACUUGCUUCCACUAUAGAUGUCUGUGGCUUUAGGGAGCAGGAGACUUCAGGAUUUCAAUGCCAAGAAAAGUUGCAGAGGCCUGUAGCUGUGAACCAAGUUUGGGCUGAAAGGAAAAAGGCUGUGUGAAAAAAACUGUGUGUAUGCAUAUGAAAGAACCAAACCCGGUGUUUGAGUACCCUGCAGGGAUCACCUGAAGAAAAAGUGCUGGAAUAGCCAUGAAGCCAGGCAUUCGCAACUGUGAUCCGUAUCCAGUGGAUUGAGAAGAAAGAGGAAGCGAUGGAGGCUGAGCCUAUGAGAAGCCUGAAGACACAGGAAAUAUACUAUUACCUAAGGAAUGGUUGAAUUCAUCAUGUAGUCCAAAGGCUGUAGAAUAUUGAGAUGGGAUUGUGACAGAACUGAAGAGGUCAUAAUAAACCAGAGGUCCUGGACUUGAAGACCAGUAUCUCACUUCUGUGUGCGGUGGCUGGAAAUGACCGGUUGUCUCCCAUUGAAGUUAUGUGAGGAUUGGUUGGAUCAUGUGCUAUGAGUAUUUCCUUUGGAUAUCAGGGAGAAAGGGUAUGAGUGUGUGUGUGUGUGAGUGUGAGUGUGUGUGUGUGUGUGUGUGUGUGUGUGUGUGUGUGUGAAAAGUCUUCAUUAUAUAUGAGAAAUUUUAAGCCUCAAGAAAAUAUAGAUGGAAGUCCACUUACUUUUCAUGUGGGGGACUGCUGGCCUACUGUGCCCCAGAAAAUUCAUAUAACCUUUGGUUGGCUUGUUUAGCCCAGUGAUUUUUGAGAUAAUAAAAAUUAUGUUGUUCUUC